rnacentral:rRNA from 1 species
UACGUAGGGUGCAAGCGUUAAUCGGAAUUACUGGGCGUAAAGCGUGCGCAGGCGGUUUUGUAAGUCUGUCGUGAAAUCCCCGGGCUCAACCUGGGAAUUGCGAUGGAGACUGCAAGGCUAGAAUCUGGCAGAGGGGGGUAGAAUUCCACGUGUAGCAGUGAAAUGCGUAGAGAUGUGGAGGAACACCGAUGGCGAAGGCAGCCCCCUGGGUCAAGAUUGACGCUCAUGCACGAAAGCAUGGGGAGCAAACAGG